ensembl:miRNA
GAUGCCUGUGCUGGAACUGACUGACUGCUGGCAUCCUGCAAGGCAGUGUGGGAUGGAACACUGUCCUACCGGAUGCCAGUAGCCAGAGUCCCCACCUCUUUCA